rnacentral:rRNA from 1 species
UACGGAGGGUGCGAGCGUUGUCCGGAAUCAUUGGCGUAAAGGGCGCGUAGGUGGCCCGGUCAGUUCGUGGUGAAAGCGCGGGGCUCAACCCUGCGUCGGCCAUGAAUACUGCCGCGGCUGGAGCACUGUAGAGGCAGGCGGAAUUCCGGGUGUAGCGGUGGAAUGCGUAGAGAUCCGGAAGAACACCGGUGGCGAAGGCGGCCCGCUGGGCAGUGGCUGACGCUGAGGCGCGACAGCGUGGGGAGCAAACAGG